GUGGAGCAUGUGGCUUAAUUUGACUCAACGCGGGAAAUCUUACCGGGUCCGGACACACUGAGGAUUGACAGGUGUUUCGUAGUGGUGUUAUUAUAUUUAUAUAAUAGCUUACUUACUACAUAUCAAAUAUGCUAGUCCUUUCAUGAUUGUGUGAUAGGUGGUGCAUGGCCGUUCUUAGUUCGUGGAGUGAUCUGUCUGCUUAAUUGCGUUUCACUUAUGGUAUUAGCUAUAUAACAGCGCGUUUGUGACCUCACUUUUAGUGCAGCGUCCAACAUGCUAACAUAUACUUUUACCUCGAAGGCAACGAACGUGACCG
rnacentral:rRNA from 1 species